AUUGAACGCUGGCGGCAUGCUUUACACAUGCAAGUCGGACGAGUGGCGAACGGGUGAGUAAUAUAUCGGAACGUACCGAGUAAUGGGGGAUAACUAAUCGAAAGAUUAGCUAAUACCGCAUAUUAUUCGAGCGGCAGAUCUCUGAUUAGCUAGUUGGUGGGGUAAAGGCGUACCAAGUCGACGAGCAGUAGCGGGUCUGAGAGGAUGAUCCGACCAUCGGGGACUGAGCCACGGCCCAGACUCCUACGUGAGGCAGAAGUGGGGAAUUUUGUACAAUGGGCGCAAGCCUGAUCCAGCCAUGCCGCGUGUCUGAAGAAGGCCUUCGGGUUGUAAAGGACUUUUGUCAGGGAAGCGGUACCUGAAGAAUAAGCACCGGCUAACUACGUGCCAGCAGCCGCGGUAAUUC
rnacentral:rRNA from 1 species